rnacentral:rRNA from 1 species
UACGAAGGGGGCUAGCGUUGUUCGGAUUUACUGGGCGUAAAGCGCACGUAGGCGGAUCGUUAAGUUAGGGGUGAAAUCCUGGAGCUCAACUCCAGAACUGCCUCUAAUACUGGCGAUCUAGAGUCCGGAAGAGGUGAGUGGAACUCCUAGUGUAGAGGUGGAAUUCGUAGAUAUUAGGAAGAACACCAGUGGCGAAGGCGGCUCACUGGUCCGGUACUGACGCUGAGGUGCGAAAGCGUGGGGAGCGAACAGG